CGCGGCGCGGGGGCGCAUCCCUCGGUGAGCGGCGGCUGGUCGGGCCGCGCCCACGUGGCCUGGAGCGCGCGCCGGGCCCCUGCGGGCCGCGCCGGGCGGGGGACUGACGUGGCGGGACCGCCUCCGCGCCCCGGGCGAGCCGUGACGCCCCGGCGUCGGCCCCAUCUCCCGAGACCGUGCCCGGCGGUGGGACGGGCGCCGCCGGCACUGCACCUCUUCCGAGGUCCCCGCGCUCCGCCGCCCAGGCCCCCGACGGCGGCGGCCGGGGCCCGGUGAGCAUCUCACACCGUCUUAAAGCGAGGCUCGGAGCGCGACACGCAGCCGCAGGCGACGCCGCCCAAGCUGAGCCCUCGGGACCCACCCUGGUCGCCCGCCUCUCGGGCCCUGCUCAGCCCCGCCGGACCCCUGGCGUGGCGGGGGCGGCAGCACGGAUGAAUACGGCGCAGGGCUGUGUGACCUUCGAGGAUGUGUUCGUGUACUUCUCCCGGGAGGAGUGGGAGCUCCUUGAGGAAGCUCAGAGACUCCUGUACCGUGAUGUGAUGCUGGAGAACUUUGCGCUUGUGUCCUCACUGGGACUCGCCGUUUCCAGGUCCCAUGUAGUUACCCAAAUGGAGCCAGAGGGGAGCCCAGGGUGCCUGAGAAGGUAAACACAGCUCCAGCUACAGCAAAGAAGAUCUGGAGGAGGCCUGGGCCUGGUUGAUGGCAUGGAGUGAAGGAUGAGGCUGCACCUUCUAAGCAGGGUGUUUCUGUGAUGGGAACUCCCAAGGCAGGUCCUUCCACCCGAAAGGUUCAUCCCUGUGAUAUGUGUGACCCAGUCUUGAAAGACAUCUUUGCACCUGGCUGAGCCACAGGAAACACCAUCUGAGCAGCACCCAAACACCAUCAUGUGAAUCACUGUAGGAGAGACUUCUGGUGUAGUAUAAACCUUGACCAGAUGCAGAAGCCGCAGAGUGGAGAAAGUUUCUAAAGAAAGGAAGGGAGCCAGGCCUCAUUUGCGAAGAUCUGCAGAUCCCAUGUGUUGGAGAAGGCUUCUACUUGCAGGGAGGGUGGGAAGAACUUUGUGGUCAGCUCUGGACUUAUCCAGCACUAGGCUCCUCGAAGCGGGGAGAAACCACACAGGGGUCCUGAGUGUGGGGAGGCCUUAUGUGUAUCAGAUUUCCUUUAGGCAGGAAAGCACAACCUGAGACCGUAAAGCCUUCCAUUUGUUGGAGGCAGCCUCACUCCAUGGUUGGUUGACUCAGAGCAUCUCAAGGGACUCUUGGUUGUGGUGAACCGGCGAACAAGGGCCAUUGGAAAUGCAGGAGAGGCACCUGACCCUGGGACACUUUCCCACAAGGAGAGUCUUCCCAGGAAGGUGAGCUCUAAGCACAUUGGUGUGGGAACAGCUAAUCUGCAUUCAGGACUUUCAUGAGAGUGAGUCUCUCGGGGAAGGGGGUGCUUUCCAUGAACCACUCACAUGGGCCACAGAAAGCUUCCAUGGUCUAUGGGCAGAAUUUCUACAAGUGGAAGUUUAACAAAUGUUGGCGUGGUUGUUCGACAUCAGCAGAUCAUGCUGAGGGAAGCCUGUGACCACAGCGAAUAUGAGAAAACCUUUCUUGAGAGGGCAGGAUUUACAUUGAGCGAAGCCAGGGGAGGAUUUACAUUGAGUGAAGCCAGGGGAGUACUUCCAAGUGUGGGAAGGCCUUCAGCUGCAGGUCAGACCUCAUGCAGCACCAGCAGAUUCACACUGGGAGAGGCCUUGUGAAUGCAAGGAAUGUGGGAAAGUCUGGGACAGCUCUGCUUUUGUCCAAAAUAACUUCCCCCACCCAAGAGAAAGUCUCUUCAAGUACAAAGUAUGUGGGUAAACCUUUGGUGACAGCUGUUUUCUCACUCAUCACAUAGGGUUUUCCCAGGAGAGAAGGCCUGAGUGCAGUGAUGUGGGAAGGCCUUCAUUCACCAUUUUUAUUUCUGGCAUUAAUAGCAUCCUCACUGGGGUAAAAUCCUUUUGAGUAUAAAGAUCAGAGAGCCUUUUGUGACCGCUCUUCCCUAACUCUACACGAGGAGUCACGGUGGGGAAAACCUUGUGGAUACAGUGAAUGUGAACACACUUUCAGCCUUCGUUCAUCCCUCAUGCACCCCCUAAGUGUUCGUACUGGGGAGAAACCCUGUGAGUGUAAGAGAUGUGGGAAAGCCUUUUGCAAGUGGACUUACCUCAGUCAACACCAGAGAACUCAUACUGGGGAGAAUGUAACUCCUGAGGAAAAUGUUUGCCAGAGGAAACCUCUUGCUCGGCAUCUGAGAAAUUAUACCAAAGAGAAACCCUGUAAGUGUCAUCGUUGAGCGAAAAAUCUCCUGAAGCAGAUCAUCACUUACUGUCUUCUAAAGGGUCCUAUUGGAAUUUGACUCAGCUUGGACCUUACUCUAUAAAUGAGAAUUCAAAAAGGAGAGGAAACUAGUGGUUCUUGUGCAGUUUCAAAACCUUCAGCUACAGCUCAGUGUUAAUAUGCGCUGAAAAGCAAUCAUGGAAUAUUUUUAAAAAGAAAAGGCAUAAGGGAGGAGGAAGAAAAGAAGUUGAUGUUAACAGAAAAAGGAAUGCAUUCAUGGUUUCGGGUUUCCCUGACAAACCCAUAACAAUUUGUUUUCAGUUGUUUUUGUUUGGGGUGGCAGGUGGAGCGAAGGGGCCUCAUCCCUUCACCUGACUUAAUACACACUCACUGCCAUUCUGUGACAGGAGAGCUGGACACUUGACAGCAUCUAAACAAAUAUUUAUCGAAAUCCUUCUUUGUUAAAAAACAGACUCAACUAGUAAGGGUCAUUUAGUGUUUGUGAUAAAUGUGAAGUCAUAAUUUAUGAAGCAUUUAAAAGAAAUUAGAACACUAAAAAUAUUGUCACCUAAAAUUAUUUCAUAUGUAAGGAGCUAAGGACAUAUAUAUGAAUGGGUACAUUUUCUGCAUCAUUUAAGACCAUUUAAGGCUUCAGUUAUUUAUUCACUUAUUUAUUCUUCACUGAGAUAUAAUUGACAUAUAACAUGUGAGUUUAAGGUGUACAACAUUGAUUUGAUGAAUUUAUAUUGCAAUAUGAUUGCCAUUAUAGCAUUAACACCUAUAUCCUAGUGGUAUCCUGUGUUCCUAGUGGUAGGAACAGUUAAGAUCUAGUCUCUUGCCAAGUUUAAUGUUUGUAAUAUAGUUUUGUUCCUUGUAAUCCCUUUACUGUGUAUUAGAUCUUCAGAAUUUAUUUAUCUACUAGUUGCAAGUAUGUACCCUUAAACAACAUCCCCCCACCCAAGCCUUUGGUAACCAUCAUUCCACUCUUAUUUGAGUUCAGUUCUUUGUUUUUCUUUUAAGAUUCCACAUAUAAAAAUAUAUAGUAUUUGUCUUUCUGUGUUUGACUUAUCUCACUUAGCAUAAUGUCCUUAAGGGCCAUCCUUAUUGUCGUAAAUGACAGCAUUUCCUUUUUUCUCAUGACUGAAUAAUAUUCCGUUGUAUAUAUGCCGCAUCUUCUUUAUCCUUUGAUGGACACUUAAGUUGUUACCAUAUCUUGUCUCUUGUGUACAAUGCUACAAUAAACAUGAGAGUGCAGA